GCAGCCUGAUGCAGCAACGCCGCGUGAGGGACGACGGCCUUCGGGUUGUAAACCUCUUUUAGCAAGGAAGAAGCGAAAGUGACGGUACUUGCAGAAAAAGCACCGGCUAACUACGUGCCAGCAGCCGCGGUAAUACGUAGGGUGCAAGCGUUAUCCGGAAUUAUUGGGCGUAAAGAGCUCGUAGGCGGUUUGUCGCGUCUGCUGUGAAAUCUGGGGGCUCAACCCCCAGCCUGCAGUGGGUACGGGCAGACUAGAGUGCGGUAGGGGAGAUUGGAAUUCCUGGUGUAGCGGUGGAAUGCGCAGAUAUCAGGAGGAACACCGAUGGCGAAGGCAGAUCUCUGGGCCGUAACUGACGCUGAGGAGCGAAAGGGUGGGGAGCAAACAGGCUUAGAUACCCUGGUAGUCCACCCCGUAAACGUUGGGAACUAGUUGUGGGGUCCAUUCCACGGAUUCCGUGACGCAGCUAACGCAUUAAGUUCCCCGCCUGGGGAGUACGGCCGCAAGGCUAAAACUCAAAGGAAUUGACGGGGACCCGCACAAGCGGCGGAGCAUGCGGAUUAAUUCGAUGCAACGCGAAGAACCUUACCAAGACUUGACAUAUACGAGAACGGGCUAGAAAUAGUCAACUCUUUGGACAC
rnacentral:rRNA from 1 species